GAUGAAGAACGUAGCGAAAUGCGAUAAGUAGUGUGAAUUGCAGAAUUCAGUGAAUCAUCGAAUCUUUGAACGCACAUUGCGCCCCUUGGUAUUCCAUGGGGCAUGCCUGUUCGAGCGUCAUUUGUACCUUCAAGCUCUGCUUGGUGUUGGGUGUUUGUCCUUUCUCUUGCAGAGGGACUCGCCUUAAAGUAAUUGGCAGCCAGUGUUUUGGUUUUGAAGCGCAGCACAAGUCGCGAUUCAAGGCUAUACGCGAGCUUCCACAAGCCUUUUUUUCACUUUUGACCUCGGAUCAGGUAGGGAUACCCGCUGAACUUAAGCAUAUCAAUAAGCGGAGGA
rnacentral:misc_RNA from 1 species